GCUGUGACUGUGUGUGGGACCGGCUGAGGACUCUGUGUACCUACAGUUUGCUUUGUAACCGACUGCGUGUGCUUACGUGUGGGUUCGGGAGCAAAUGAAGGGGGCGAACGAGUGAGAGAGAGAGAGAGAGAGGGAGAGAAAAUUAGAGAGGAAAGAAUGUAUGGAAAAAAAAGUUUGAUUAUUCUGGAAGUUAACUCAUAUUGCACUCAAGAAGGACUCAAGAUUUUGGAGGCUACUUCUCGAUAGAAAAAAAAAAAACAUUUUUGAUUACAUUUUGCCAAAAUCACUGGUCUCAAAACAGCAAGUGGGCUCUGGUGACCUUACAGUGAUGGAAUGCCUCGUGAGUGACGGAGAAUCACGCUGAUGGAGAAGUGAAAGUCUUUCGGCUCUGACCCCGAACAAUGAGCUCCGACGUGACGGGAGCAGACAGCCGCCAUCAUGGAAAUGUCACGGCCAACAUCAGAGACCCGGCAGCCUACUCUUUCAUUCCCUUAAUCCACAAUCCCUCCUUUCCUCUCCUGAGCGGCAUACAUAUUCAGCAGCUCAAGUCCUCACCAUUCUAAUGAGGGCUAGACCAGCGGGCUAUGAAAAAGAGGAGAGAUACGGGGAGGUGGGUGAGUGGGGGGUUAAAAGAAAGGAGAGACCGUCUUUGAACUCCUAAAGAAAGAGAGAGACGAGUGAGAGAUGAGGAUGAAUAGAUGGAUGGCUGAAGUGAUAAGAGACAGAUCAAAUGCUCCUGAUUCUUUCCUGUGGUCUUUACACAGCAGGGUUAGUUGUGUCGAUUUAAAUGCUGCUUUAAGAGAGCGUCCUGUUAUAUUUCAUCAUUUCAUUCACUCUGAGACACCUAACGCUGAAGUGUGUCUUUUUUAUGUUUGAUCUAUUUCAGUGUAAAGGGAUGCUUCACCCAAAAUGACGAUUCUAUUAUAAUUCAUGUUGGUUUAGCUUCAUUUGUUCUAAAUGUUUAGCAGAACAGUCACGUCACACUGUUCCGUAAAACUUAUGUGACCACA